CAUUCAACUCGAUCUACAAUGAAGCGGAGAUGGCUGUCAGAAAAACGCAUUUACUUCUCUAUGCUAGGCUACCAGAGCUUUUCUCCACAGCGCUUUCUCUGCUGCAGCUGAAGAGCAGCAAGGGAAGACUUCAUGUCAAGACUGGAGUUCCAGAUAGAGUUUCAGACAAAUAUAAUCUUAUCACAACAUUAUUGGAAGAAAGUUCUCUAUGGAUCGCAACAUACCUCUGCACAGCUUGUGAGAAGGGGCACUGAUCACCUCAUUCUGCGUUAUCUUACCAAGGGACCCUGUACAGAAAAUGGCUUUGAAAGAUGGCGACAGCGCUCUUCCCACCACACGUGCAUCUUGAAUAAAUGACAGGUGAGUUUCUCA
rnacentral:lncRNA from 1 species